ensembl:misc_RNA 7SK 7SK RNA
GGAUGUGAGGGCAAUCUGGCUGCGACAUCUGUCAUUCCAUUGAUCGCCAGGGUUGAUUAGACUGAUCUGGCUGGCUAGGCAGGUGUCCCCUUUCUCCCUCACCGCUCCAUGUGUGUCCCUCCUGAAGCUGCCCGCUUGAAGAGGACGGCCUUCCCAGAAUAGAGACGGACCAGUCUUCAGUUGAGGGUAUACCAGUAGCUGCGCUCCCCUGCUAGAACCUCCAAACAAGUUCUCAAGAAUGAAAGAAUACUAUAUUAAAAUUUUUCCAGAGCAGAAGGAUUAGCUCAAUGAGUGUCCCAGACAAACUAU